CCCUCAGGGCGGCCCUUCCCUUCCCCUCAGGGCGGCCCUUCCCCUCCCCUCACGGGGCCCUUCCCCUCACGGCGGCCCUUCCUUUCCUCUCAGGGCGGCCCUUCCCUUCCCCUCACGGGGCCCUUCCCCUUACGGCGGCCCUUCCCUUCCCCUCACGGGGCCCUUCCCCUCACGGCGGCCCUUCCCUUCCCCUCACGGGGCCCUUCCCCUCAGGGCGGCCCUUCCCCUCACGGCGGGUCUUCCCUUCCCCUCACGGGGCCCUUCCCCUCACGGCGGCCCUUCCUUUCCUCUCAGGGCGGCCCUUCCCUUCCCUUCCCCUCACGGGGCCCUUCCCCUCACGGGGCCCUUCCCUUCCCCUCACGGGGCCCUUCCCCUCACGGCGGCCCUUCCCUUCCCCUCACGGCCCCGGGGCGGCUCCCGGAGCCCAGAGUGCGGCUGCUGCUCCUCUGCGUGCUCAAGGAGACACUUCGGGGCUGGCGGGGAUCGCUUGUGGUUCACCGUGAGGAAAAGCGAACCAGAUAUGGGCAAAUUGCGGAGACAUUUCAUUUAAAUGUGCUGGCAGCCAACAAAUGAUCAGCUCCUCGUAAUGCACAGCACUGGCGGCAGGGGAAUCAAGGGAGGGGCUCAGGCUGUUUUUAAGUAACUCGUCACAAGGGUGGAAGUGACAUGGGUGUACAGAUGACAGCUUGUCCCCCAGUUUGCUGGAAUGGAAUUUUGUCACUUACCUUGCUGCACAGCAUCAACAGAUGUUGGACCCAUUGUCCUGCUCUCCCUUCCCUACUUCAGCACUGCACACAUAGGAAUGAGGGACAGCUCCCAUCAAGGAACUCUAGUCUGCCCGAAGAGUCCAGCAGUGAAGUGCCUCUCUUCAAUUCCUGCCUUGGCCAGCAAGAUCCUCCAAAAAACUUGUGUCUUCUUCACAGUCCCCUUCUGACCUGCCAGGGUUUUCUCCAGGGCUGAGCAUUGUCAUGUUGCUCUGAAGUUCUGCAUAAAGCCUAGACAAAAGGCUGAAGAUAGCAUUGGUGUUAAAUAAGUGUGGAGGGAAGGAAGGCAGAAAACCUGCGGCCAGAAUACAGCAGAGUGACUUGCUACCAGCCUGGCAUUCAUUUUCAAGGCAAUUAAGUGUGCAGUGCUAGAUCAGAGCACAACAGCCAGUCAGCCUCAGUUUACAUUCCACGCAGUUACCUGGGUGCACUCCUGUAAGGUAAAACCCAGGAUCCGUAGAUGUGCAAAAACUUUUGUCAAAGCUGUGGGUAUCAGGCCCAGUGCCAGGGUUCAGAGCUGUGCAGGUGCACAGGCUGAGUCAGUGACACAGCUCCCUGCCUGCAAGCCUGGGGGGAGGAGCAGGGCCCAGACUUACUGACAAGGCAGGGUGGCAAAGGCUCUUGGUUUGUCCUGAUGGAGAGUCCCUUGAAUCUUUGCACUAGUAUCCUAAGGUACUUUUUAUACAACAUGUGUUACCCAACUGUUUUUUGUAAUCAUAUGAAUCUCCAAUAAGAUGACUAGUGUUGCACCCUCCUUGUACCAGUCUAAAAACAAACGUGUACAGCAGCUGACUGCAAUGCAAGGCAGCGAUACCUUUCUGCUUUUGCUUCCUCUUGUUUCCAGGACUGAAUUGCUUAAAUAAAUCUUCCUGCAUGUGAAUUAUAUCCACUUCACUUGGAAUUUCCUGCCCUACUUACUUUGUUGUGCAACUUCUUACUGUGGCAGUCGCUCAUAUUUAAUAAGCUUCUGCCCGGACAUAAGGCCUUGUUAUUUUAAAGCUUAUACUUUAUAUUAAAAAAUCAUUGUAAAAAACACAGCUCAUUGUGCCCACACUAGCAGUAGGACCUGCCACACACGAAAACAUCAAGUAGAAAGAUGAGGGUAAAGAUGGAAGAAAUCGAAAGGACAUCCCAAUCAAGCAUUCAUUUUGUUGAACUGUAACUUAGAUAACUACAUAUACAAUAAAAGUAGCAAUGUAGAUACACAGUAAAGAGCAAUACUUCUGGGAGAAGGCAGUUCCUGUGAUAUUGCUGUGUACACCAAAGUAUUAAUAUACCACUAAAUGCAAAUGGGGUGUUGGAUUAUUUUUUUUUAAUUUAAUCAAAUUAUCUUGGUGGGGGAAGAAUUUCAGACAGUUAAUCAAGCCUUCCAACACUCCAGUUUUCUCUUUGUUGCCCUAAUCACCAGUAAUUUUUCCUGGAAUUGCCUGGACACACUCAGAAUGAACCACACUGUCUGCCUGGCUGCUGAGACCUUGCUCCAUUUGUGUCAACAUACCUACAGCUGUGUCCUUUCCAAUUUUCCACAGCACCUUGGAAGCAAAGGCAAAGGAGGAUGUUUCUGAUGACUACCUCCCAGCAAAGGAAAACAUGUUACUGUGGUUGCCUACGUAUGGGAACAGAUGCCUGACCUCCGUCCUCAAACUCCUUCCAACUACAACAACCGUUCAUCCUAAAGAGCUUUUGUGCUGCAACCUUGUACACGUGUUGGGCAGUGCCUUUAUCUUGUCCUUGGCACAGAUGCCUCACCUACAGCCGGGCUGCUUCUAACACAGAGAGCAGCAUUUGCAAUCAGACACUACACUGCCACUGUGUGAUCUAUCAAAAUCUAAACCUUAUAAACGCAGCACUAGUAAGAAAUAUGCAAGUUUGUCACUGGGUUGCUUUUAAACUUUAAAACAAAGAGCUACAUAAACACAAUUCUUAGAAAUAAAUUUUUGCAAAGCCAUUUAUAUUUGACCUUCUGAGGGAGGGAACAGGAUAACGAGGCUGUAAGGAUUCUAAAGGAAUUUUUACCGGCUUUGAAACACAGUGUUGGGAACUCAUCAUUAAGAUUUCAUGGAAACCUCAAGCUGCUGUUAUCCCACUGAGGUAAGAACUUUCUGUAGUAGUCAAUUAUAAAAAUAAAACACAUUUUCAAUAUAUGCAAGUUCCUUCAGACAGGCAUUCCUUUUUGUAAUAUAAACCCCCUCCCCAAAUCCAAACCACAAACCAACAAAAAAAAGGUAAAAAUGUGAGUAGACCUUAGAUUUAAUUAAUACUUUUACUCAUCAUCAAACUCAGAAGUUAGGGAAGACAUCCUGAGAUCUUACCUUGCCUCAAGAUACUAAGAAAAAAAUCCAACACUUCACAUAAUCCCUAUGUAAGAUGACAAAUAUCUACUAUCUAUAAGGCAUCCUUGUGGAGCUCUACCCCUUUUACUGCCCAGUCUGACAUUAGACACUUGAAUUUUACCCUUUAUGUCAGAGGACUCAAAUCAGUUGAUUCCUCAAGCCUUCAAUUAAAAACAUUUUUUAAAUGUGUGCAAGACCCACACUUGUAAAACUGUGUGGUCAAACUCUUUUUUUUCUGCUUUGAAUCGUCAAACACAUCCAGAUAAGCUAUGUACACCCCAGCUGGAGAAUGGAACUGUCUUUUUACCAUUUUCUUAUGGAAUGUUCUCAAAAUUCUGAUCUGGGAUAAGUCCUCCUCACACGCAGCAAAUCAGAAGAACACAUUUGAAUGACGUUCAAUUCUGCAGCUCAACAUGCUGUGUUUGCAUGGGAGCUGUAGUAAAAGCAGAAGGCAAUACUUUUGCAGGUUUUUUAGCUCAGCUUCAGAAACAGUACAAAGGCCUUUGAACUGUAAUGUAGCAGCAGUCCCACGAAACCAAGCAGCCAAAGCCGCAGGGAGCGGGGGCACAGCAGCAGCAGCAGAGGCCAGAGCCUGGCUCGCACAGGAAGAGGAGGAGCUGCAGUACAGAGCAGGUACGGGGCCUCUCCUAACACCACUUGCAGAAAAAGCCUCAAGACAGACAAUGCCAAGCCCACGAACAGUCUUUACUUCUCUCAGUUAUUUCACAGCACAAUGAGACACAGCACAAAGUUUGUACAGUGGGAUCUGCAGACAGUUUAAAAACAGGCAAUUAUCUUUAAUAAAAAGCAUUGAGUCUAAAUGAAAAUAAUAUGAAGACAAACAAUACUGAAGCUAAUGAUCACCUUGCUUGCUUUUGAUUGUCUAAAAAGUCCAAGACUUGUCAUAGUGCCUUUAAUGUUCUCCACAUCACCUUCUCCAAACACCCUAGUUAGUGUAAAGCUUAAUGUGCCUCAACUCAUAUGUGUGGGUAGGUUUCACAACCUUUUGCUCUCAAACCCUACUUGCAGUGUGUGGGGAGGUGCAACAGCUCUCAUCAUACAACAUUCUGAUUCACAAAGAAGCAGCACAAGUGUUGUACAUAAUUUAAUUUGCACUUCUGUAUAUAAAUGUUUACUAUAUUGCACACUAUUGCAGCACUUAAAAACAUCUAAUUAUUUGCAAAAAUUAGUAAAAUACUUUAAAGGAUUUAAAAAUAAGGGUUUUAAUGCAACUGACAAGAUAAUAAAAAAAGCAAUUUACUUAAUGAGAUACAAUCCUUUAUGUUGGAAAUGAAAGUUACAUACAACUAGAGUACAAUUAAAAUAUACCAUAUAGUUCAACACUUAAUUCCUCAAAUGUGUAAAAUUAACAAGCUUCUACUGUCAUAGAUAUACAAUUUUUCCAUAUUGUGAAAAGGAUUUUUCAAAUUAAAUACAGGUAACAUAAUAUUCUGUAGUUAUAUUUCACGACUGUGUUUAAAUGAGAGGGUUGUAUAAUACUCACAUUGUCAAAUGUACUCACUAAUGCCUUGGAAAUUGCACACUUCCCCUCCUUUUCCAAAAUAGAAUCUCGUUUCCAUACUGAAGUCUAUUAUGCCAUAUUGGAAAAGUGUUUAACUUGCUGACAGGAUUUUCAUAAAAUUAAAAAAUAGCAGAAUAUCAUGGCAUUAUGAUGACUUUUCCACUUAUGCCCAUGUAGAAUUUAAUCUGGAUAUCAGACAGACACGUCAGAACCAAUUUCCUAGACUUUUGUCUUAUUGUACACGCAAGAUGAAUGAUUACAGUAUAUUACAAAACAGAAAAAUCUCUGAACCUUUCUAGAGUUAUAAAUGUAAUGAUUAAAAAUUAAAAUCAUAACAGAAUCAAAUUGUGAUCUCCAACAUUUAUUAAAAUCUUUAAAGUUCAUAAACGACAACAAAGUUACUGUAGAAUUUAUCGCAUACAGCUAGCAUACAGCAGCAUGUCCUUGGUCUAAAUGAAAUACAAAAGAUUUUAACAUUUUCAUACAAAGGAUUUCUUUAAAUUUAUUCAUGUGACGAUAUAUCUUUGUUACAUAAAAUUUGCUACAGCAAAGUAUCUUAUACUUUUCUUGCACGUAUGUAUAUAUGGGUGGACAAGACUGCAUUCGGUGUCAGCCUCCUAAUGACGUUGUGCAAAAAUGCUCAACAACCUAAACACAGAGAAUGUUGGGUGGUACGUUUCAGAAUCUUUUGUAAAAUGUCUAUAAAGGCUUUUCUUUAGGGAGUCUCAUACAGAUUAAAAGGAAGGAAUGCCAUCAGCUGUUGAUUUGCUCUGGCAUUCAAACAAACACAAUGGCUAUGUAUCAAUAUAGC